ACGCACGCUGGCGGCGUGCUUAACACCUGCAAGUCGAACGGUGAAGCGCCUUCCUUUUUGGUGGGUGUGGAUGAGUGGCGAACGGGUGAGUAACACGUGAGUAACCUGCCCCCUUCUUCUGGAUAACCGCAUGAAAGUGUGGCUAAUACGGGAUAUUCUGGGUCUGUCGCAUGAUGGGUCUGGGAAAGAUAUUGUUUCGGUGGGGGAUGGGCUCGCGGCCUAUCAGCUUGUUGGUGGGGUGAUGGCCUACCAAGGCGGUGACGGGUAGCCGGCCUGAGAGGGUGGACGGUCACACUGGGACUGAGACACGGCCCAGACUCCUACGGGAGGCAGCAGUGGGGAAUAGUGCACAAUGGGCGCAAGCCUGAUGCAGCGACGCCGCGUGAGGGAUGGAGGCCUUCGGGUUGUGAACCUCUUUCGCCAGUGAAGCAGGCCUGCCUCGUUUGUGGGUGGGUUGACGGUAGCUGGAUAAGAAGCGCCGGCUAACUACGUG
rnacentral:rRNA from 1 species